UCAUCAAAAUAGGUCUGAUUCGAAUCCAAUUCGAAGCUAGUUCAAAAUAAUUUCGAAUGGCUGUCAAUCUUAAACUCUUUAAGACUUUUGUACCAAGUCUAACUUGAAUUUUAGAUCUAAUUAAGCUCAAUUAAUUCAGAUCUAAUCUGAAAUUAAUUAGUAUUUAAAUCUAAUCUCUCAUAUGCUCCAUGGAUCAUAGAUCAGAAACUGUUCAUCCCCG
rnacentral:lncRNA from 1 species